rnacentral:rRNA from 1 species
CCCUUAGAUGUUCUGGGCCGCACACGCGCUACACUGAAGGAGGCAGCGUGUACUCCUGGAUCGAAAGAUUUGGGUAACCCGCGAAUCUCCUUCGUGCUAGGGAUUGAGGUUUGCAAUUAUCCUUCAUGAACGAGGAAUUCCCAGUAAGUGCAAGUCAUAAGCUUGCGCUGACUACGUCCCUGCCCUUUGUACACACCGCCCGUCGCUACUACCGAUUGAAUGAUUUAGUGAGGACUUCGGACUGGGACCGAUGCGGCUUUCGGGAUGCGUCGGUAUUCUGGAAAGAUGUCCAAACUGUAUCAUUUAGAGGAAGUAAAAGUCGUAACA